AGAGUUGAUCCUGGCUCAGGAUGAACGCUAGCGACAGGCUUAACACAUGCAAGUCGAGGGGCAUCACGGGAGUAGCAAUACAACUGGUGGCGACCGGCGCACGGGUGAGUAACGCGUAUGCAACCUACCUAUCAGGAGGGGAAUAACCCGGCGAAAGUCGGACUAAUACCGCAUAAAACAGGGGCACCGCAUGGUGAUAUUUGUUAAAGAAAUUCGCUGAUAGAUGGGCAUGCGUUCCAUUAGGUAGUUGGUGAGGUAACGGCUCACCAAGCCGACGAUGGAUAGGGGAACUGAGAGGUUGGUCCCCCACACUGGUACUGAGACACGGACCAGACUCCUACGGGAGGCAGCAGUGAGGAAUAUUGGUCAAUGGGCGGGAGCCUGAACCAGCCAAGUCGCGUGAAAGGAAGAAGGAUCUAUGGUUCGUAAACUUCUUUUGCAGGGGAAUAAAGUGCAGGACGUGUCCUGUUUUGUAUGUACCCUGAGAAUAAGGAUCGGCUAACUCCGUGCCAGCCGCUGC
rnacentral:rRNA from 1 species